AAAUAUUAUUAAAUUUAAAAUAAUUAUAAAUAAUAAUUAAUAGAUAAAAUAUAAUUUUUAUUUAUAAAAUUUAAUUUUUGUUUAAAAAUUAAUGUUAUUAUUUAAAUUUAUAUUUUAAUUAUAGGUUAGUAUAUAAAUAAAUUUUUAUUAUUUUAUAUAAUUUAAAUAAUUAUAAAUAAAUUUAUGAUGGAGUAUAGAGAAUUAUAAAGAUAUUAAUUAAUGUUAUAUUAGAUAAUAAAAAUAUAAUUAAUAAAAUUUGUGCCAGCAAUUGCGGUUAAACAAAUAAUUAAAGUUAAUAUUUUUAAUUAUUUAAUUAAUUAAUUAAAUUAAUAUUUUAAAUAAUUAUAUUUUAAAUUAUAAGUAUAAUUUAAAUUUAGAAAAAAAUAUUUAUAUUAUUAAAAAUAAUGAUUAAUUUGAUAAAUUUUAUUGAAGACUAGGAUUAGAUACCCUAUUAUGAAAAUGUAAAAUAUAUUAAUUUAAGUUAGUAUUUAUUUAUUAUGAAAACUAAAAAAUUUGGCAGUAUUUAAUGUUUUUUUAGAGGAACUUGAUUUAUGAUUGAUGGUACACGAAAGGAUUUACUUAUAUUAUUUUUAUAUAUUUCCGUUAACAGAAAUUUUUUGGAGGAUUAUCUAAUUUCAUUAAUAUUAUUUAUUUAUUUUUUAUUUAAAUUUAUAUAUAUAUAAUUAUUUCAGGUCAAAAUGUAGAAUAUAUAAGAAAAAUUGAGUUACUAUGAAUUAAAUUUAUUAGAAUAGAGUUUUAUUUUUAAUUUAAAUAAAAUGAAAAAGGAUUUAAAAGUAAAUUUUAUUUAAUUAAUUAAAUUGAUUUAAAUAAUUAAGUAUGUACAAAUAGCCCGUCAUUCUUAGUAAAAUAAGACAAGUCGAAACAUAGUAAUGUUACUGGAAAGUGAUGUUAAUUUUUAAAA
rnacentral:rRNA from 1 species